UGUUACAACUUCUGUAAGUAGGUGAAC
rnacentral:piRNA from 1 species